GUCAGUCCCAAAGAAGUCUCCCUCAAUCUUCCAACCAUGGGCCAUUGGUGGGGAUCAGCAGAGACAGCUUCUGAUGCUACCUGACCUGAUGUUAUAUGCUCUGAUCUCUGUCUUGUUGGCAUGCUCUGCCCAGCCAUGUCCUUGACCUCCAUUGUGAUGGCUGCUCUCUCGUGCUGUGUCAGUGUCCACCUGUGGACUGCACCUUUGUUCAAUGAAAAACCUGAAAAGAACCAUGGCAGCAUGAUGUGGAGGCUAGAGAGAUGCAGACCCCAUUUGCCUCUCGUGUGGCCCUGAUAAAGCAAAGGAGGUCUUCCACCAUUUCGAUGGAAGGCUCUCUGGAGGUCAGCGGCGACUUUCAAAGCAGUUUCACGGCAGUCCUGAGACCCAGCAGCAAUAACAUCAGCCUCAAUCAGGAUGUCUUGUAAGCCAGCAUCCCCAAAAUGUUUGCCAAUACAGGACAAGAAGGCCAUACAUGUGUGAAACUCCCCCAUUCUGACUUUCUGUAGGACUUGAAUCAAUCACUGGAAGGUAUCCGAUGUUGGUUGGUGGUGGAAUUGGACCUCUGUGAAUGAGUGUGUUAAAACCAGUCCAUCCAGGAAGGACUUCACCAUGGACUGCAGUCUUCAUGAGGAAAUAAGCACCAUCCAAUGUUUGUGCUGUUUUCAUGGCAUGGAUGUGGGUUUCUAAUUCUAGUUCCACUACUUUCCCAAAAUGUUCCGGGCCUGUUCUCUUUCCUCUGAUGUAUGUUUCAAGGUGAGCAGAGGGUGGAUCAAGUGACCUCUUUCUUGUUUUCUGUAAACACUGGUUUUCAGGGGUAGGUUCGUCACAUGAAAUCAUUUUUUGAAUGAUUAUGCCAUUUGUAUUGUGUGUAGUCCCCUUACCCGAUAAUGUUUCCUCUCCAAAAUCGUUAUUGUCCCAAACAAGAGUUGCUUGCAUUUGUACAUGUAUGUUUUGGGGGAUGUAUGUGUCACCUCGUUGUAUUUGCAGAUGUGCCAAAGCUGUGUCAUGUUCAAGCACCUGUGAGUUGGAGGAACAGUGCCCAAGACCAUUCAAUAACCCUAUCAGCUGAGCUGAUCCUGUCAUGUGUCUAACAGCCAUGGCUAAGGCACAGUGUUUCGGCAUGAGCCAUCUCCCUUUCAUUUAGAGGGAUUGGUUGUCGUGGCUGUGCUCCAGGCGAUAAAAUUGAAGAGCUUAUUUGGGAUCAGAUUUGAGGCAGCUGACAUUGUAAGUUGCUGUGCCGUUGGUGGCCAUCUGAGUGUGGG